rnacentral:rRNA from 1 species
UCUGUAGUGUAAAAGAGCGCAUGAUGGAUGCCUUGACACUGUUAGACGAUGAAGGACGUAGCAAUCUGCGAUAAGCUUCGGGGAGGUGAUAAGCAACCUUUGAUCCGGAGAUUUCCGAAUGGGGGAACCCCUCUAAUGCUUGCAUUGGAGACCAUGCACCUAAUACAUACGUGCAUAGGAGUUAACCUGGGGAAGUGAAACAUCUCAGUACCCAGAGGAAAAGAAAAUACCAAACGCUGAUUUCACACGAAAGCCAUCUCGCCCGCUGUUCUAAACAGCAGCGAGGCGGAUCGACUUCGUGUGAAUUCCGCGUGUAUGAUUCCCUUAGUAGUGGCGAACGAACGGGGACAAAGCCCAAACUUAUAUUGUGUUGAUACCGGGGAUAAGGGAGUCUUUGACUUUUUUAGACGCGGUACCUUAAAGGGUAGGCCGUUGCAAUAUAGGUGUAGUAAGAAUAAGCUACAGUUUCCUAAUAAAACUGAUUCGACAUAGCUGAUGUAUAAUCG